rnacentral:lncRNA from 1 species
UAUCAUGUCUAACUUUUUCAUAUUAACAAAUACACUCCAAAUUCCAUUUUUAUCAAGCAGGUUGAAUUUUAAGAUAGUUCCAAUUUAUCGUGUAUAUCAACUUUUAUUCAUGAAAGGAUGGGUACUAAUUCAACUCGGCAAAAAAUAUAUAGUUCAAUAAAGCGAUAUAAAUUAAAAUCUGAUGCUGUUCCAACAGUAUUUCCGGAUAUUCCAAAAAACUUGAGAAAACAAACUUUUCCUGAAAGGACAACAUUAUCUGCUUCUACUAAAAGAUUUGAGCAAGAUAGACUUCGUGUUAAUUCUCAAAUUGAACGUUUAUUUCAAGAAGAUGAGAUAAAUAAUUUCACGGAUAUAAAAGAAAAAAAACCUGGAUAAAUCGUGUUUACCCAAAGGCAUUAAUGUAAUAUAUAAUAAAGACAUCGUCAUGUUUUUCGCCCUAUCAUCACAGGAUCUUAUUCCUUAUAUUUUGUUUGGUUUAAAAGUGAAUAAUUACCUCUCUUUCUCAAUUUUUUCAAAAGGACUUCCUACACCUAUUGUCGAAGUGAAUCAUAUAUGUUCAUCAAAGAGUCUGAGCCGUUAUUCGGAUAUCAAUAACAUUUUAGCAUAUUUAAAAAGUAAACAGAAUGAAUCCAAACUAGCUUCAAGAAUAAAGUAUGUCAUUGAGAUAUUGGAAGAAGCAA